AGAACCAGCUUUUCUUCUCCUUCUUUUCUUCGCGUGCGAACCAGGAGCUCGGAGAUCGCAGCUCGCCGAGAACCGCUCGCCGCUCGUCCCGCCGCCGCACCGCCACCCGCACCCGUGCACCCGUCGCCGUCCCGCCGUCCGUCGCUCGCUGCCGCUCCUCCCUCCGCGCGAUCCAGCCAACCCAGUUGCUGUUCCGCACCGACUAGCCACCGUCCAGCCACCUCCGGCCACCGCCAAGCCCCGCCGGACCUCCCCCGCGACCCCCUCGCCUUCCGCCGGCCUUCCCUCGCCGUUUUGGCCGCCGGAUCUGCUCCGACCAGCCAAGGGCAGAAACCCACGAAAUGGGUUUCCAGCUGGUUCGGGCCCGUUUUGGGCCGUUUCCCAGCCCCGAACCCGAGCGGUGCUUUUGGAAGAAUCGUUCCUCGUGUCGCCGCCGUCGGAUUGAUCCAAUUUGUGCGCGAUUUGGUGAGUAAUCUCACUAAUCCUGGAUUAGUUGGCUAAUUAUGCUUAAGGUUGGUUUAGAUUUAAUUAAUUAUGUUUAGGUUGUUAGAUUAGAAUAAAUUAGUAAUUAUUAGUCAAUUGUGAUGCGAUUUAGAUAAAUUGAUUGUGCAAUUAACAAGUAGACGUGGUCUACUAAUUAUUGGAAGUGCCUCGGGAUUUUUCCCGACCCUUAGUGGGCUCCAAUUAGGCUUUUCGGGCCUAAGUGGAUAUUUUUAGUAUUUAAUUAUUAAUUUUCGGAAUUGCAUUAAAUAAUUAUUUAUUUUCCGAAAAUUCAACUGAGAUGGCUCGGGACCGGAAUAUUGUGCUGAUGACCGUGGUGAAUUCCGUUUAUUUAAUCGGGCUUUAUUUUGAGCUAAAUUGAAUUUUUAAUAUUAAUUAUUUAAUUUUCGAAAUUAAUUAAUAAAUUAAUUAUUUUUCAGAAAUUAAGAUUUUGAUGGCCGACGACCAAAAUCUCGUGUUGAUCAUCGUGGCGUAGUCCGUUUAUUUAUUUGAGCUCCACGUUGUAUGGAAUUGAAUAAAUUGUGAUAUUUUAGGGAUUUACCCUAAAUUGAUUGGAAUCGAUUGAGAUUGAAUUAUUGAUUGGUGAUUGACCAAGUAUGUUAUUCAGCAUUUAUAAUGCUUUGUUGAGUUGAUUUAAUUAAUUGAUUGAGAAAUCGUUGGGUAUUGGUUAUCACCUGAAAGGAAGCACGUGGGCUCGGUGAAUUGGAAUAUCACCUGGAAAAUGCACGUGAGAUUAGUGGUUGAUCAUAUUGAAUUGUUUAUGUUGGCUCUGUGAUCAUUGUAUCACCAUGGCGAAAAAGACGCCCGAGAGCAUAUUGAAUUGUUUAUGUUGGCUCUGUGAUCAGUGUAUCACCAUGGCGAAAAAGACGCCCGAGAGCAUAUUGAAUUGUUUACGUUGGCUCUGUGAUCAGUGUAUCACCUUGGCGAAAAAGACGCCCGAGAGCAUCGUAAAGUGUUCACUGUACGUCACCUUGGCGAAUCGACGCCCGAGAGCAUUGAUGGAGCUCUGUGACUAAGUGCAGGCAUCUAAAAGGGCACGUGGCUCGGUGACUUGAUGUAUCACCUUGGCGAAGAGGUCGCCUUAGAGAAUGCACGUGGGCCCAAGGUUCGAGGCACGUGACUCGGAGACUUG
rnacentral:lncRNA from 1 species